rnacentral:tRNA from 1 species
AAAGCUUCAGUUUUUGGAAUUUAAUCUUGUCAGGAUUAAGGUUUAUUGCUUUU